GAUGAACGCUGGCGGCGUGCCUAAUACAUGCAAGUCGAGCGAACAGACGAGGAGCUUGCUCCUCUGACGUUAGCGGCGGACGGGUGAGUAACACGUGGAUAACCUACCUAUAAGACUGGGAUAACUUCGGGAAACCGGAUCUAAUACCGGAUAACAUGUUGAACCGCAUGGUUCAUCAGUGAAAGACGGUCUUGCUGUCUCUUAUAGAUGGAUCCGCGCCGCAUUAGCUAGUUGGUAAGGUAACGGCUUACCAAGGCAACGAUGCGUAGCCGACCUGAGAGGGUGAGCGGCCACACUGGAACGGAGACACGGUCCAGACUCCUACGGGAGGCAGCAGUAGGGAAUCGUACGCAAUGGGCGAAAGCCGGACGGAGCAACGCCGCGUGAGUGAUGAAGGUCUUCGGAUCGUAAAACUCUGUUAUUAGGGAAGAACAAAUGUGUAAGUAAAUAUGCACGUAUUGACGGUACCUAAUCAGAAAGCCACGGCUAACUACGUG
rnacentral:rRNA from 1 species